GCUGGGCGCGGUGGCGCACGCCUGUAAUCCCAGCUACUCAGGAGGCUGAGACAGGAGAAUCGCUUGAACCCGGGAGACAGAAAUUGCAGUGAGCUGAGUUCACACCACUUCACUCCAGCCUGGGUGACACAGUGAGACUCAGUCUCAA
rfam:Homo sapiens chromosome 11, GRCh38 reference primary assembly.